rnacentral:rRNA from 1 species
GACGAACGCUGGCGGCGUGCUUAACACAUGCAAGUCGAACGGAAAGGCCCUGGUUUUGUGGGGUGCUCGAGUGGCGAACGGGUGAGUAACACGUGAGUAACCUGCCCUUGACUUUGGGAUAACUUCAGUAAACUGGGGCUAAUACCGGAUAGGAGCUCCGGCUGCAUGGUGGGGGUUGGAAAGGUUCGGCGGUUGGGGAUGGACUCGCGGCUUAUCAGCUUGUUGGUGGGGUAGUGGCUUACCAAGGCUUUGACGGGUAGCCGGCCUGAGAGGGUGACAGGCCACAUUGGGACUGAGAUACGGCCCAGACUCCUACGGGAGGCAGCAGUGGGGAAUAUUGCACAAUGGGCGGAAGCCUGAUGCAGCAACGCCGCGUGCGGGAUGACGGCCUUCGGGUUGUAAACCGCUUUCGCCUGUGACGAAGCGUGAGUGACGGUAAUGGGUAAAGAAGCACCGGCUAACUACGUG